rnacentral:rRNA from 1 species
GACGAACGCUGGCGGCGUGCUUAACACAUGCAAGUCGAACGGAAAGGCCCUGCUUUUGUGGGGUGCUCGAGUGGCGAACGGGUGAGUAACACGUGAGUAACCUGCCCUUGACUUUGGGAUAACUUCAGGAAACUGGGGCUAAUACCGGAUAGGAGCUCCUGCUGCAUGGUGUGGGUUGGAAAGUUUCGGCGGUUGGGGAUGGACUCGCGGCUUAUCAGCUUGUUGGUGGGGUAGUGGCUUACCAAGGCUUUGACGGGUAGCCGGCCUGAGAGGGUGACCGGCCACAUGGGGACUGAGAUACGGCCCAGACUCCUACGGGAGGCAGCAGUGGGGAAUAUUGCACAAUGGGCGGAAGCCUGAUGCAGCAACGCCGCGUGCGGGAUGACGGCCUUCGGGUUGUAAACCGCUUUCGACUGUGACGAAGCGUGAGUGACGGUAAUGGGUAAAGAAGCACCGGCUAACUACGUG